GCCCGGGUAGCUCAGUUGGUUAGAGCGCUGGAUUGUGGUUCCAGAGGUCAACGGUUCGACCCCGUUUCCGGGUACCA
rnacentral:tRNA from 1 species